rnacentral:lncRNA from 1 species
AACAUAAUUCUUUCAGGCAUAGUUGGUAAGUACACCUGUCAUAUAUGCUUCCAAAAAUGUAGCUCAUAAUGAUAACAGAGUGAGAGAAAAACAAAUCUCGAGAAUACAAAAUUCAUUUGUUAUAACCAGUUUUGCUUACACUCUCUCAAAAUAGCCAUCUGUACUAAAAUGUGUACAUAACAGAAAAACUUGCUGCAGUACAAAAAGGUUCGCAUAUAUUUAGACCUUGGAACUUUCUAAAGGCUUGAAAACUUUUCAAAAGCAUCUCUCAUACUUGCUAUAGUAGAAGUGAACAGGAGUUGAUGCAAAUAGAACAGCAGCUGCUUAAAUAAAUCCUAUUACAGUGAUCUAUUUUUUUGUCCCUUAAAAUAAUUGCCUAUUUACUCCCACCCCCGAGGUUCUCCCUGCCUCUUAUUUAAUUUAACAAGCAUUUGCAUGAUGCUUAGUAUAUGAAGGUAAUUUCCUGUCUACUUUAUAAAUAUUAGCUCUUCAUUUAAUCAUCAUAGCAAACUAAAAUGCAGUCAGGAUUUCCCAAAAUUUAGCUACCGUUGAAUAGCUGGGAUCUGAACCCAAGGAGCAUGGUUUCAGCAUCUAUGAUCACUGCAUACUCUACUGAAUCUAUGCUGUAUGUAUGACUGAAAAAGCAAUGCUUCAGGGAAAAAAAUACUGCUAUGCACUAAUUCCUCACCUCCUACGCAAAUUGAGCUCUAUGUCUAUCUACGUUUGGCCAUUUCAAACAAAAUACCUGACGAAUCCUCUUGCAGAUAUUAGACAUCGGUCUACAGAUUCUUAUUUUAUUUUGAAAAGAAAAAGAAACAUGCUUCAUGAUGUACACACAGUUCUUUGAUUUAGUACUAGCUCUGGGGUGGACAGGGAGAACAACUAUUCAAACACAUAUGCCCAUCAUAAAGAGCAUUCUACUUGAGAAAUAUUAAAAUGUUAAAAGGAUAAUACUUAGAACCAAGAAAACAAUGCAAUGAUUUAAUUCCUUCUUUUUAUGGAUUUCUUUCUAUUUUGUUUUAACAAGGACCUGAUCUACACAUAGCUUUUUAACUGCCUUUAAUACUUAUUUAAAGUAGAUAGGAUAAUAGCAAUAAACAAAUUGCUUUUAAUUCUUGGAAAUUAUCAUUUUUAUUAAGAUAAAUCCUAUGCUAUGCUACUCCGGAUCAAUAUUUGAUAGGAUGUUACUGGCAUUGUUGAUGUAUAAAUGUGUAAACAUUUAAUAUACUAACCUACAAUCCUCUACACAAUAUUCUUUAAUAAAAUAGGGUAGGGAAAUAAAAGUUAAAGAGUUAACAAAAGCAUCUUGGUGUAAAGUGGGAAAUUAAAGUAUUAUUUACUUAGUUUUAAUUCUCUUUAAGGUAACUGCUCUGGUAAUUUAUUGCUAUAUAACAAACUACACCAAAAUUAGUGGCUUAAAAUACCAAUAACCUUUAGUAAUUGUUUUUUGUUUUUUUUUUUCAAAAAUCUGUGAUUUGAGUGAGGCUAGAGCUCAGAGUCAGGGACUCAUCUCUGCUCCACACAGCAUCAGCUGGGGUAACUCAGUUGUGCUGGAGGACCUGUUUCAAAGAAGACAGUCAAGUGGUUGUUGACCUAAGAUUGUUGGCCAAAAUCUUUGAUCUCUGUCCAUGUGGCCUCUACAUGGAGCAUCCUGGACUUAAUCACCACAUAAUGUCUUGGUCCCAGCAAGUCUCAAGAGUCUGGCAAGUUUCUAUGACAUUUCUCUGCUCUGGCCUCUAUGCUGCAGAAAAACACUUUUGCAGCAUUCUGCUAGAAAAGCAAGUCACCAUGGCCAGCCCAGAUUCAAAAGAAAGGGAAUUACGAGUUCCCGUUGUCACUCUGUGGGUUAAGUACCCAACUAGUAUCCAGGAGGAUAUGGGUUCAAUUCCUGCCCUCAAUCAGUGGGUUAAGGAUUCAGCGUUGCCACAAGCUUCAGCAUAGGUCACACAUGCAGCUCAGAUACGUCUCUAAUCCUGGCUCAGAUCCUGCAUUGCUGUGUCUGUUGCAUAGGCCUGUAGCUGCAGCUCCCAUGACCCCUAGCCUGGGAACUCCCAUAUACCACGGGUGCCGAAGAAAGGAAAAAAAAAAAAAAGGAAGAAAGGGGAUUAGACUCUCCACAUCUAAUUUUUGUCAGCCUGUUAGAUACAACUGUUUUGUUAUUUUAAUCAUCUAUUUGGGGUUUAUAGGGUAUACAUCUUUAACGUAUCUCAGUCUACUUGCAAAUGAUUCUUGGCCUGGGAACAUCCACAUGCUGAGGGUGUGGCCAAAAAAAAAAAAAAAAAAAAAAAGGAAGAAUCUUCUUAGAUUGUACUUUCAUUUCUGGCCUUACGUAGACAUUAUGGUGUUGUUGUCAUACAUUUUACUUAUACAUC